rnacentral:lncRNA from 1 species
AUACUAUGCAUAUUGACAUACAUAUUAAUGUAAUAAACACAAUAAUGAGAGUGUAUUCAUUAUCUAUUUAUUUUAUUUUAUUUACUACAUUUAUAUCCCGCCCUUCUCACCCCAAAGGGGACUCAGAGCGGUUUACGAAUAAUAUUGACACAUUUACGUACAAUGUAUUAUAUUAUUAGCAUCGCACAAUAUUAGCAGAGCAUAGUGAUACUGUAAUAAUAAUACAGAUUUUCAGAACAUAACACAGUAAUCAUAUUCUAUAUUAUAUUCUGAUUCUGCCAACUUUGCAAUUCAAAAACGUGCAAAAUGUGAGUAGAUCAAUAGGUACUGCUCCAGCCAACCAGGAAGCCGCCCUGACUUCCCUUUGAGGUUGAGAUAGGGCGGGGUAAAAAUGCAGUAAAUAUAUAUAUUUUACCCUCAGAGGUUGUGAGAUCUGUUGGAAACUAGGCAAGUGGCGUUUAUGUAUCUGUAGAAUUUCAACAGAAAGGAAGAAACCAUGAAAAUGAACAAAAUCUGAGUAUUAAAAAAGCUAAAAUUGGGACAGUAAAAAAAGAACAUCACUCAGAAGACAAGAAACAAUCAGGGCCAGUUAACCCUUCCAAACAAGGGAUUCCCCCAGGCAGGAAGCAGCCAGUUCUUGAAGCUGAAAGGCUUUUCCAUGCAAAUCAAGGUGGCCAAUUCAAAUAUUCACACCUGCCUCAAACAGAAAAGAGUUAUUCCUCCCACCCUGAACAUUCCACAGAUAUAGAAACCCCACUUGCCUAUUUUUCAACAAACCUCACAACCUCUGAAGAUGCUUGCCAUAGAUGUGGGAGAGAAUACUUCUGGAACCUGUUGUCAAAAGCUUUCAUGGCCAGAAACACUGGUUUGCUGUGGGUUUCCCAGUCUGUAUUGCCAUGUUUCAGAAGCAAUCUCUCCCACAUCUAUGGCAAGCAUCCUCAGAGGUUGUGAGGUCUGUUCGAAACUAGGGAAGUGGGGCUUAAUUAUUUGUUGAAAGUCCAGGUUGGAAGAGAAAGAACUCUUGUCUGCUGGAGGCAAGUGUGAAUAUUGCAAUAGGCCACCUUGAUUAGCACUGAAUAGCCUUGCAGCUUCAAAGCCUGGCUGCUUCCUAUUUGAGGGAAUCCUUUGUUGGGAGGUGUGAGCUGCCCCUGAUUGAUUCAUGUCUGGAAUUCCUCUGUUUUUGUGUGUGUUGUUCUUUAUUUACUGUCCUGAGUUUUUAAAUACUGGUAGCCAGAUACUCUUCAUUGUCAUGGGUUCCUCCUUUCUGUUGGAAUUGUCCACAUGCUUGUGGAUUUCAAUGACUUCUCUGUUGUCUGACAUGGUGGUUGUGAGAGUGGUCCAGCAUUUCUAUGUUCUCAAAUAAUAUACUGUGUCCAGGUUUUACCCCUUAGCUUAAAUGGCUAUGGGGGGAAAGCAAGGGGCUUGAGGUUGUUAGGAAUUGUGGGAGUUGUAGUCCAAAACACCUGGGGGGCCAAUGUUUGCCCAUGCCUGGUAGGUAAGUGCACUUGCUGUUGCAUCUUUGCUGGAAAAUAAUUCUGUGUACAUUUAGAAAAGCAUAAAUACUACAUAUUUCAAGUAAUGCAUCAUCAUUUGAUCAUUUCAUAGAAUUCCAGCAGAUUCUCAGAAUGUGUAGGACGCAUGGGGGUGGGAAUUUAUGAGUAGCUGUCACACAGCCAUAUAACCCAGAAUAUCAAGGCAGAAUAACCCAAAAUAUCUGCUUUGAACAGGGUUAUCUAAGUCCACACUGCCCUAUAUCCCAGUUCAAUGUUUGGUGUUAAAUUCGCAAAUAUAGUAAUUCCUACAUAACAUUACCAUGUAUUGAACUGCUUUUUCUGUUAAUUUGUUGUAUAACAUGAUGUUUUGGUGCUUAAUUUGUAAAAUCAUAACAUAAUUUGAUGUUUAAUAGGCUUUUCCUUAAUCCCUCCUUAUUAUCCAACAUUUUUGCUUAUCCAACGCUUUUGUUUUUCAGUGAUUGGUUUGGGGGGGGGGGGGCAAAAUUCUGUUCGCCUGUACUUGAAAAUUUCCUAGGGCCGGCUCUGUUUGUGACCAUAUUGAUGGAUCCUGAGUUGCUUUUCAAUACAGGGAUUUACAUCUGAGUAGAAAUGCCUAGAUGAAUGGUAGGCAUUAAGCUAUGCUCUGUGUACUUAGUGAGAAAAAACUCUUAUGACCAGAGGUAGGAAAGUGCCAGGAAAACUAGUAGUCACAAGAGAGUUGAGGCAGCCUAGUCAUGAAGCCAGACUCCCUAACAUUGGACACAUGCUUUGACAAGGAUUAGACCAGUGGUUCUCAACCUGGCACCCCCAGAUGUUUUUGGCCUUCAACUUCCAGAAAUCCUAACAGCUGAUAAACUGGCUGGGAUUUCUGGGAGUUGUAGGCCAAAAACAUCUGAGGGUGCCAGGUUGAGAACCACUGGAUUAGACCAAAGAGCUAGUUCAGUUCUCCAUCACCAGCAAGGUCACUUAUUCCGUAUGCUUGCUUUCACUGUCAAUAUCGUGCUCACAUUUCACAGGAACAUUUGGGUAAAUUAACCUAAUUAUGUAUGAUAGCUAAUUUUUGAGUGUGAAGGAAGUGUUGAGGCACUUCAAGUCUUUAUUUAAAAUGCAGCUCAUAAUCGCUUGCAGACAGAGAGCUGAGAGGCUCAGCAUGUGGGAUGAACUUGGGUUGGUAGACGGUCUGUGAGAAGUUAGGGGGAAAACUAUGGGGAGGAAGGACUGAGUGGAGAGAAUGAUACAAAGGGCUGGGACUGCUGCAGUUGUAUCACAAAAAAGAGUGACAGAUUGCUGGAGGGACUCCAAAGGAUUCCUUGCCUAUCUUUCUUUGUGAAAUACAGAGAAUUGUUUUCACUCUGUGUGAAAAAUUGAGAAUUGUCUGAUCUCAAAAUCAGAGCUCGGGAAAAGUUCUGUUUUAUAGAAGACAGCUCUCACUAUCCUCUAGCCACCAUUUACACUAGUUAUGCUGACUGGGGAAUUCAGGGAGUUCUUCUUCAUUUGUGUAACAUCCCUUUACCAAAUGUGCAUCUCUGUCUUACAUGUACUCCACACAAACCACACACAAACACAUCUUGCUGCACAUACAAAAAUGACUUCUUAUGGGCCAAGAAUAUUGGUUGCCCAAUUAAAUUUGAAGAAUGAGAGAAGAUUUGGAAAAGAAAGUUAAAAUAUACAUAUGCCUUAGAUCUCCAGGAAAAUUGGAUCAACAUGUUCCAUAGAUGGUACGUCACACCAAAAAAAAAGAAAAAAGA